GUGGAGUUGCCGGAUUACAAUAAAAUCACCUUUAAGGAGAAUCCCGCGAUCCCAUUGGAGGAGAUCGUCCCUGACUCGUCCCCUCAGGCUGUCGACCUGCUCUACAAGUUUCUGGUUUACCCGUCCAAACAGCGCUGCUCCGCCAGACAGGCUCUCCUCCACCCGUACUUCUUCUCCUCUCCUCUUCCUGCUCACCACUCGGAGCUCCCCAUCCCUCAGAGGGGGGGCCGACCCCCCCACCAGCGCCUUCAGGCUCCGCCCACUGACUUCUCCGUGGACCUGCCCCUGCAGAACAGCGUGGUAGACCCCUCGCUGCUGCAGGGACACGCCUCAUGCGUCUGAACGAGACCCACCGACCGACCAAUCACCUUCCUCCCUCGGUGACUAGCCUCUGCUGAUGAGACACUUUUAUAUUUUAUUUUAAUUUAUUCGUGGUCUGUUUCACGCGCGUGUUGAUAAAGUUCUCAACGUGUCAUUGUUCUUUCCUUCAUAAAAAUAUAACCGCAGUGAAAAAAAACAUACAACAUGAAAUGAUAAUAAAAGGAGAUGAGAAUAUAA